CCAUUUCUUUUCUGUUGGUCUUGUGGUCAUAUUGUUGUGUACAGAACAUCUUGUUUUUCCCAAAAUGAAUCUGCAGUGUGACAAUCACAGGAUCUGGGAGAUCAGUCAUCACUGACUGUGGGGUAAUAGCAUGAAAAUAUGUUAAAUUCCUCGUGCUAUUGUUUGACUUCCCACAGCGGCCAAUCCUCUCACUGUCACAUGCAAGUACUCAUGCCCAAUGACCUAACCUAACCAAUAUAACAGAGCACAACAGACUGGAGACGCAAGGCAUGUUGUAUCCGGGAUCUUUAAAGGCACUCUUUCAUGGCUCAACAUGCGCACUCCACAUGCCCACAGGGAGUUUUUCCUUGCCCUUGUCGCCAUUGUGCUUGCUACAGAGGGGUUCAGGCCCUAGGCUCUGUAAAGUGCCUUGAGACAUUUUAUUGUCUUGGCAUUAUAUAAAUACUUCUACAAAGCUGCCUUUGUGAGCAUUGCACUUUCGUUUUCAACCUUCCUGUUUCAUUGAAUUAGGCCCACCACACCUCCAGAAGGCUCAACAGGAUAAGACAAACAUGCUUGAUAAGACUUAUUGUUUCUCACAUGCACAGUUACCACUGAGCCACACUGACCAUGUUCUUCAGUGGGGGAAAGAGAUUCCAUCAAACCGUACACAGAACAAGAUAUAAGUAUUAAGCUUAUGGCCUGAGAACUAGACAGCAUGUUGGUCCAGCCCUGCCUUGUACAGGUUAUUCUCUGAGCUCCACAUUACUCACUGGACAACAAAAGCCUUGGCUGUUGUUCAAAGGGACAAAAACCCUUUUAACACCCUUGGAAACAAAGCAAACCAUUCCACAAGCACUGUGGGCUGUGAAGCCGGGUCAGGUUUCUGGUAGAGAGGCAGGGGUGUACUUGUCUCUUGAACUCCUUAAAGCAGCAGUGCAGUUUUAAUUGAAAACUAGUAAGCUAACUACCUUGUCAAAACCUGUGAAAACACCAGCACUAAUAAAAGCUUGCUAGCAUGCUAACUGGUGAUCUAGUUGGCAGUGUUGUGCUGUGAAAGCUUUUCGUACAAUGCCGUUGGGUGGUCCAUCCCAGACACAGAAGUACACAGUGCAAAGCAUGGCCAGUUAGUGGGAAUGAGAAGUGUCCUCCUUCCCAUGCCCAUAUACCAUCAUUUGAACAUGAUAUCAGAAUUAGUUGUACAUACAUCCAUACAUCAAAGUAACAAGUGGUUGCAUACCGUUGAUUUAAAGCUACUGGUAUAUUAAGUAUUUUUUUUUUCAAAAAGUUUUGUGUUAUUUUGUUAACUGGACCUUAGGACUGUGUGCACUGUGUGUGUACAUGGAUUGUGUAUUUACUUAUUCCUUAGGGCGGACCACAAGAUCACUAGACAGGCCUCAUCAUGUAGUUUCAUUUCCCAGAACCUGUACAGACAAGCGUAGGAGUAACAGCAGAUCAGUUUCCUAGUGACAAACAUUUCAGUCUCACAGGCAUGAAAUGAUCCUUAGCCUCCUGACUACAAGCUUUCAUCACACACCAGAUGGCAGUUGAUGGUUGCGGGCUUGUGGGUAGAGAGCCUGUCCACCACAGACCAACUGGUGGGAGUGACUGGGAGAAGGAGGGGUGAAUGCCAAACCCAUUCCAUCUAUAAAUACUAUCUUUCUUACUUAAUUUGUACCAUAUUAUGAAGAACCCUUAUGAGGUGAAAGAC
ensembl:lncRNA